CCUACGGGAGGCAGCAGUGGGGAAUUUUCCGCAAUGGGCGAAAGCCUGACGGAGCAACGCCGCGUGAGGGAUGAAGGCCUCUGGGCUGUAAACCUCUUUUAUCAAGGAAGAAGAUCUGACGGUACUUGAUGAAUAAGCCACGGCUAAUUCCGUGCCAGCAGCCGCGGUAAUACGGGAGUGGCAAGCGUUAUCCGGAAUUAUUGGGCGUAAAGCGUCCGCAGGCGGUCUUGUAAGUCUGUCGUUAAAGCGUGGAGCUCAACUCCAUUUCGGCGGUGGAAACUACAAGACUAGAGUGUGGUAGGGGCAGAGGGAAUUCCCGGUGUAGCGGUGAAAUGCGUAGAUAUCGGGAAGAACACCAGUGGCGAAGGCGCUCUGCUGGGCCAUAACUGACGCUCAUGGACGAAAGCUAGGGGAGCGAAAGGGAUUAGAUACCCCUGUAGUCCUAGCCGUAAACGAUGAACACUAGGUGUCGGGGGAAUCGACCCCCUCGGUGUCGUAGCUAACGCGUUAAGUGUUCCGCCUGGGGAGUACGCACGCAAGUGUGAAACUCAAAGGAAUUGACGGCNGAGAGNGCGACGCGACGACGAGGGAGAG
rnacentral:rRNA from 1 species